AGAGCCACCAUGCCAGUUGUUGGCCAAAUCCGUCAAAAAAUUAUUCAGGAUCUAAGUCUUCCACAAUAAUUUAUGUUAUUGUCGGAGUCGUGAUUUGUUUGCUGAUUAUUGUUAUUGUGGCUGUCGUUUGUUUUGUUCGUUAUUGAAAGAGACGCUGCGACCAUCGCGUCCAGAAAGACGACUUCAAGGCCAAAGAUCAAGACACAAAUUGCUAUGAGCUGCCAAUAGCUACACAAACUUCUCAUACCGUCGAGAAUGUGGACAUUACACAAAGCGCUGCAAACAGCUCCCGGUCAGUUAGCAUGAAGUCGGAUACUGUUCCUGUCUACGGUAAUGCAAAACUGAUGUCGGACCAGAUUUGCUCGUUGACUACACCGGACAAUGACGUUAUUUACGAAAAUUUCCGUCGACACUAGAUGCAAAUUUGACUUGCAACACUAUCUACACUGAUGCAUACGACAAGACAAAUGUCUAAGAAAAUCAA